UCGCUGCUUCAUUGAUGUCCUUUGGGAGACUGAUGGAGGGGAGGAACGUCCGGGCUCCAUAGAGCAGGGUGCCAGGUAACGCCUGGGGAGCGCGAGCUCACGACAAGUGCAGCAGAGAGAAAACCGCCGAUGGCUUAAUCUUCUUUUAUUCUUCGGAGUAGGGAAGUAAGCACAGGUAAGGGUGAAAGGGUGCGGUAAGAGCGCACCGUGCGUCUGGCAACAGUGCGUAGCAAGGUAAACUCCACCCGGAGCAAGAUCAAAUAGGCCCUCACAUUGCGUUGCUCGCGUAUGGGGGCGGGUAGAUUGCUUGAGCCUGUGAGCGAUUGC
rnacentral:RNase_P_RNA from 1 species